GAUGAACGCUAGCGGCAGGCUUAACACAUGCAAGUCGAGGGGUAGAAGUUGCUUGCAACUUUGAGACCGGCGCACGGGUGCGUAACGCGUAUGCAAUCUACCUUAUACAGAGGGAUAGCCCAGAGAAAUUUGGAUUAAUACCUCAUAGUAUAAUUGAAUGGCAUCAUUUAAUUAUUAAAGUUCCAACGGUAUAAGAUGAGCAUGCGUCCUAUUAGCUAGAUGGUAAGGUAACGGUUUACCAUGGCAACGAUAGGUAGGGGUCCUGAGAGGGAGAUCCGCCACACUGGUACUGAGACACGGACCAGACUCCUACGGGAGGCAGCAGUGAGGAAUAUUGGACAAUGGGCGCAAGCCUGAUCCAGCCAUGCCUCGUGCAGGAAGAAGCAUCUAUGGUGUGUAAACUGCUUUUGUACGGGAAGAAACACUCCUUCGUGAAGGAGCUUGACGGUACCGUAAGAAUAAGGAUCGGCUAACUCCGUGCCAGCCGCCGCCGUAAUAC
rnacentral:rRNA from 1 species